ACUCUGGGACAAGCCCUGGAAACGGGGUCUAAUACCGGAUACUGACCCGCUUGGGCAUCCAAGCGGUUCGAAAGCUCCGGCGGUGCAGGAUGAGCCCGCGGCCUAUCAGCUUGUUGGUGAGGUAAUGGCUCACCAAGGCGACGACGGGUAGCCGGCCUGAGAGGGCGACCGGCCACACUGGGACUGAGACACGGCCCAGACUCCUACGGGAGGCAGCAGUGGGGAAUAUUGCACAAUGGGCGAAAGCCUGAUGCAGCGACGCCGCGUGAGGGAUGACGGCCUUCGGGUUGUAAACCUCUUUCAGCAGGGAAGAAGCGAAAGUGACGGUACCUGCAGAAGAAGCGCCGGCUAACUACGUGCCAGCAGCCGCGGUAAUACGUAGGGCGCGAGCGUUGUCCGGAAUUAUUGGGCGUAAAGAGCUCGUAGGCGGCUUGUCACGUCGGUUGUGAA
rnacentral:rRNA from 2 species